rnacentral:rRNA from 1 species
UACGGAGGGUGCAAGCGUUGUCCGGAAUCACUGGGCGUAAAGCGCACGCAGGCGGUCUGCUAAGUUUGGAGUGACAGUUGGUGGCUUAACUGCCAAAGUGCUUCGAAAACUGACAGACUUGAGGGCUUCAGAGGGACACGGAAUUCCGGGUGGAGUGGUGAAAUGCGUAGAGAUCCGGAGGAACACCAAAGGCGAAGGCAGUGUCCUGGGGAGUACCUGACGCUCAGGUGCGAAAGCCAGGGGAGCAAACGGG